rnacentral:lncRNA from 1 species
UUGGCCGCCGAUUACAUUGGAGUGCAGAAGGUGGCGUUGUGCUGGGGACUUUUCGGUAUCGCCUCGCUGCCGCUCACAUUUUUUGAACCUUCAAUUGUAGGUGUGUUCCGCGACACUGGAGGAUCGUACGACAACCUGUACCGCCUGUGCGGGGGAAUCGACCUCAUCGCAGCACUCCUGCUAUUGACGCCGGCAUGCGUUCGCGCUAAAAGAAAGGAAGCAUCGCAUGGAGGAAAUUGCCAAGGUUAACAGAAAUAUUGACUGCUGAUGACUGAAUGAACAUUCCCGCCAAUACAAUGUCAUUAUAUUCAUUUUGAGUAUUCUCUGUGUGACAUAUAAUAAACUUAGGAAAGUACGGAAAGAAAGGUGAACCGAACGUUACACAAAAUA